rnacentral:lncRNA from 1 species
UUUCUUUGAAAAUUCAUAAUAAAUUCAUUUUCAUCCGAACAAUCCCAAAAUAAUUUCUAAACUCUUAUUUUAUUUUUCUUCAUAUGAAUUUUAUUUUUCAUAUUUUAUUUUCUUGAUUUUCUAUUUAUCUUGAAUUUCCUAUUUUCUCCUUUGUUUUAAUUGGUUUAAAAAUACUUUUAGGCAUUUAAAAUUUCUGAAAAUUUUAUUUUAUGUUUUUU